rnacentral:misc_RNA from 1 species
UCUCGAAAAAGCCGGUAUCACAACAAACAAAUAAACGAAUUCGUAGUAAGAACAAAUUGACUUUUUUGUUGUACAUACAGCAUUGAAUACAACCUUGAAAAAAAAACCAUCUGUAAAUUUUACAACAAUUUCGGCUGUGAAAUGUCACGCGUGGACCGCCGCGCAUCAAACGUUAUUGUUAUUAUGUGAACCGUAAAUUUUUUACAAGACUUCUUUUUCGAUUUUACUUAUAAAACCACCUUAUUAAUAUUAUUAUUAUUUUCCCAUUUACACCCAACUCUACGUUUCGCGGGGGGCUUAAAUUUAUCACAACCAUGAAGUGCAGCAAAUUAAUAUUUUGGUUUGUAUUUGGAGUGUGUUGGUUCGACGGAAAUUGUGAUCAAAUUCAACAUCAAUCCAACACCGAACCGGAAAAACCGAGGAAUAAUGGAAAUAUGGGGUACUCAUUGCUUUCUAGGUCUAUGUCUAAAGUUGUAGAAGAUUCACAUGAAAGUUGUUACGUUGAUGAUUUCGAUUGCUUAUUUGGAGCCUCAAAUGAUAAACCUGGAUUAGAGGCUAUUCGAGCUUUACAUCAACAAUUAGAUGAUGAUGCUAAUGGUGACAUUGAUUUAACUGAAACUGGUGAUUUUUUGCGUCAAGAUUUAAAAAUUGAUUCUGGUUAUGAAAAGCGUCAAAAAGCAUUCCAUCAAAACGACGAUAUGCAUAUUUCCGUUAAAGAGCUUUGGGAAUCUUGGUUAAGAUCGGAAGUCCACAACUGGACUGUUCAGCAAACCGUUGAAUGGCUCUCUGUUUGUGUGGAUUUGCCGCAAUAUGUUCCAAAUUUUAUUCAGAAUAAGGUAACUGGAGCUGCACUUCCAAGGUUGGCUGUAAAUAAUAUGAACUAUCUAAGCAGUCUAGGCAUUAAAGAUCCAAUACACAAGCAAAAAAUCUCGCUCAAAGCAAUGGAUGUGGUAUUAUUCGGACCGCCUAAAGACGGUCAUAAUUCUUGGAAAGAUUUCGUUGUAAUUUUAUUGAUUAUUGGUGGCGGUAUCGGUUUUUGGUACGGUUACCAACAAAACAAACACUUCAAAAAGAACAUAACGAGGAUGUGCACGGAAAUGGAGACACUUCAAAACGCGGAAACGGCAUUAAGAAAACUCCAAAAAGAAUUGGAAGAAGCACGACAAGCUCAGGAACAUGUUACAUCAGAAAAACAAAAUUUAGAGCGACGUUUACAAGAAAGCGAAGCCGAUCCGAAUUCUUUACAUCACUCGAAUUCCGACGGCGAAGUUUCACAACUUAAACAAGAAAUUGAGAUGUUAAGAAAUGAAUUAUUAAUAGCUGAAAGUAAACUUCAACAAGCUCCUUGUUGGUCCCCACCGGUUGGGUUACAACAAUGGUUACAAUUAACGCACGAAACUGAAAAUAAAGCUUACGUUAAAAAGAAAAUGCAAGCUGAAAAGCAAUUACAGCAUGCAAGAGAAGCUUGUGAAAAAUUGCGUAAAAAACGAUCAAGUUUUGUGGGAGCUUUUGUAAGCACCCAUGGUAAAUCAAUAGACGACGUUGAUAGAACGAUUGUGGAAGCGAGAACAGCGUUAAAUGAAGUUACCCAAGAAUUACAAGAACGAGUUCAUCGAUGGAAACAAAUUGAGAGUUUGUGCGGAUUUAAUAUUAUCCAUAAUAAUGGUUUACAAUCGUUGGAAACGGCGUUGUAUAAAGGACUAAAUGGUCGAGCUUUUGGUUUAUUAAGAAAUCGAAUUAGCAGCCAAGAUGAUUUGGACGAUGAAACCAGCUCCGUUUAUACUUCUACACCAGGUGUAAGAUGGCGAUGUCUGUGUAGGAGCCGUAGAUUCAUGGCCGCAGCACAGUUGGAGAGAGGCGGACUCUUCCGGAAGCGAAGCCAGUAGACAAGACGAUGACUAUUUCGAACCAAAACAAACUACCAAUACAAAUACUGUUAAUUUCAUCGUUGGAGGGGACGUCACUAACUGGUCUGAAGAUAUUUCACCUUUAGUUCCUAAACAUACCCGAAUGUUAUCUCAACCAGCAUCCCUCCGUAAUCCAUCUCUUAAUAAAUCUUUAUCGACAAUGACACGUUCGUUUUCUCAAGACACCAACGUUGGUAAUGUAACUUCCUCUGAAGCCACAUUGCCACCAUCGAAAACGUCGCAUUCAGAACCGUCUUUGGAUCAUAUGGAUCGACGGAAACCGAAGAAAUUACACCAUAUUAAACAGCAGACGAUUAGGGAGCAUACGGGUUCCACUGAUGACGUUUGUUCGACGGAUUCUUCGGUUAUCGAUGAAGAAAUUAAGCGGAAAAAGAAGAAAUUUUUUUCGUUUGGAAAAACCAAAAGCGACUGACCUCUGAUGAUUCGUUUUUUUUGUUGACUUUUUGGUUUAUUUUUU